rnacentral:rRNA from 1 species
AUACGUAGGGAGCAAGCGUUAUCCGGAUUUACUGGGUGUAAAGGGCGUGUAGGCGGGAGUGCAAGUCAGAUGUGAAAACUAUGGGCUCAACCCAUAGCCUGCAUUUGAAACUGUACUUCUUGAGUACUGGGGAGGCAGGCGGAAUUCCGUGUGUAGCGGUGAAAUGCGUAGAUAUACGGAGGAACACCAGUGGCGAAGGCGGCCUGCUGGACAGCAACUGACGCUGAGGCGCGAAAGCGUGGGGAGCAAACAGGAUUAGAUGCCCUGGUAGUCCACGCUGUAAACGAUGGAUACUAGGUGUGGGGGGACUGACCCCCUCCGUGCCGCAGUUAACACAAUAAGUAUCCCACCUGGGGAGUACGAUCGCAAGGUUGAAACUCAAAUGAAUUGACGGGG